AGCGAACGCUGGCGGCAGGCCUAACACAUGCAAGUCGAACGACCCUUUCGGGGUUAGUGGCGGACGGGUGAGUAACACGUGGGAACGUUCCUUUAGGUUCGGAAUUCCUCAGUGAAACUUGUGCUAAUACCGAAUGUGCCCUUCGGGUGACAGAUUCAUCGCCUUUGUAGCGGCCCGCGUUUGAUUAGCUAGUUGGUUGAGGUAAUGGCUCACCAAGGCGACGAUCAGUAGCUGGUCUGAGAGGAUGAUCACGAACAUUCGGAGUGAGACACGGCCCAAACUCCUACGAGAGGCAGCAGUGGGGAAUCAUGCGCAAUGGGCGAAAGCCGGACGCAGCCAUGCCGCGUGAAUGAUGAAGGGCUUAGGAAUGUAAAAAGCUUUAACCGGGGACGAUAAUGACGGUACCCGGAGAAGAAGCCCCGGCAAACUUCGU
rnacentral:rRNA from 1 species